UGGGGAGUAUUGCGCAAUGGGCGAAAGCCUGACGCAGCGACGCCGCGUGGGUGAUGAAGGCCUUCGGGUCGUAAAACCCUGUCGGGUGGAACGAAUCUCCAUCCUGCAAAUAGUGGGAUGGAUUGACGGUACCACCGAAGGAAGCCCCGGCUAACUACGUGCCAGCAGCCGCGGUAAUACGUAGGGGGCGAGCGUUGUUCGGAUUUACUGGGCGUAAAGAGCGCGUAGGUGGUCCGUUAAGUCGGAGGUGAAAUCCCUCGGCUCAACCGAGGAUCCGCGUCCGAUACUGUCGGACUUGAGUGCAGGAGAGGAGAGCGGAAUUCCCAGUGUAGCGGUGAAAUGCGUAGAUAUUGGGAGGAACACCGGUGGCGAAGGCGGCUCUCUGGACUGCUACUGACACUGAGGCGCGAAAGCUAGGGGAGCAAACGGGAUUAGAUACCCCGGUAGUCCUAGCCGUAAACGAUGGGCACUAGGUGUGGGAGGUAUCGACCCCUUCCGUGCCGCAGCUAACGCAUUAAGUGCCCCGCCUGGGGAGUACGGCCGCAAGGUUG
rnacentral:rRNA from 1 species